CCUGCAUGAAGUUGGAAUUGCUAGUAAUCGCGGAUCAGCAUGCCGCGGUGAANACGUUCCCGGGCCUUGUACACACCGCCCGUCACACCAUGAGAGUCGAUAACACCCGAAGCCUGUAGUCUAACAGCAAUGAGGACGCAGUCGAAGGUGGGAUUGAUAAUUAGGGUGAAGUCGUAACAAGGUACC
rnacentral:rRNA from 1 species